rnacentral:sRNA from 1 species
GAACAGCGGCGCAGUAUCCUAGUCGGAUCUGCCGUCUUGUAAGAAGGGCCUAAAAAUCCUUUUAAGGGCACAACUGUGAAGUCUCUGGUGCUUGCUUCUUACGCCCAGUUUGGGGUGGGUGCUGGAGGGAGGUACGGCUGCGCCGUGCCUGCGGAUUCAGGGCGCCCUCCAAUGGCAUGGAGGACCCGACCCUGCUUUCGUGGAGACCUGCUGUUGUGCACAGGCGUACUCCCUUGUGGUAAAGCGACCUGUGUACGAGGCAGAUUGAGAACCUGCAUUGCGGUGCUACCCAGCGCUUGGCGCUGCGAACGCUGUGUGCAGAGUAGCCUGCCUUGCGUGGAGCGGGUGAAUAGGAGAGCCAUGCAGUCAUUUCCCCGGCCAGGGAGGUGGCUGAUAUUUCCUUGAAACCCCCUCUGCAAAAGAGGCUAAGAGACGGCCUGACCGCUGUGGAAAUCACCUAGGCUGUCGAGAAGGAUGGCAGUGGGAUUGCAGUGCGGACUAAGUGGCAGUCGGGUAUCGCGUCUGGUAACAGCGCGGCGCGGCUUUUAAAGGGAAACCGCCUGAUCGGCAACGAGAGGUAAGCCGUGGGGAAAUCCAACCCGUACCUAAGCCGUAAGAUUUACCAUUGCCGUUGCCGCUG